AACAAGGAACAACAGUUGAAGUAUCAGCAAUCAGGCGUCCACCUGGAGAACAAGGAACAACAAUUGAAGUAUCAGCAAUCAGGCGUCCACCUGGAGAACAAGGAACAACAGUCGAAGUAUCAGCAAUCAGGCGUCCACCUGGAGAACAAGGAAAAGCAGUUGAAGAUUCAGUAAUCAGGCAUCCACCAGGAGAACAAGGAAUAACAAUUCAAGUUUCAACAAUCAGGCGCCCACCUAGAGAGCAAGGGCGUACGGUUCAAGUUUCAGCUUUCAAGUUCUUACUGAUAUUUGGUAACAUGAUUUAGUUUACACUCACAUAUGUGCCCAGCCACCAAACUGGGGCAG
rnacentral:lncRNA from 1 species